rnacentral:lncRNA from 1 species
ACAUAAUAUCAAAAAAUAAAAAGAAUAUCACAACUUUUUUUGGUUAUAAAUAGGAGUAUCUACUAGUGAUGAAAGUGAUGUAUGCAGUGCACUUUGGGAACCCCACAAAUAAUGUGUUGCAAGAAAUCUUGUGAGCUUAGCACAUGGAAUAGUGGGAGAAAGUGAUGUAUGCACCAACCAUCUGUCACAAAUACACAAAUGCCAUAGAAAGAAUAGUUUGGAUUGUUCCUCUUUUUCUAGUCUUUGCUUUCCAACAAGUCCAUCAUCUUUAUUGGUAUUGAUGGUUCAACUAGCUAGGGGGAUAUAUAAACAAACAAACAAAUCCCCUUUACCUAGCUUUUGUUCCACUCCAUAUUUUUUACCCAUUCGUCCAAAUCCACCAAAAAUGAUGCCCAUGACAAAGUCAUCAAAAUUCUCAUUUAAAGGAAACACAACGUGGAAGUGUCAUUAUUUUAGAUGUGUGUGUGGCAUGGCAUGGCAACUUCCACUUCCAUCCACGCCCACACCCACACCCACACCCACACCCACACCCACAAAUUCUUCCUUUUCUAUUCAUACAUAUAAUCAUCUCAUCUUUGAAGUUGACUCGUAUCUUAUUAUCUAAGUGCGUUUCUAAUCGAGACUUCUGAUCAAGAAUGAAUAUAUUUCAUUUAUCCUAUUUAAUCAUUUCUUAUUUUUCUAAAAUAAUAAAAAUCAUCCAAUGUUCAAAAAUUACCAAUUCAAAGACUCCCUAUUAAGUAUUUUCCUUUCCCAAGCUGAUAUUCAACAUUGAUUAAGGAUGAAGAAAUAUCAUCCAUCUUAACCAUCUAGCAUAUUGAUUUCCAAAAACUCUUAUCAUAUAUUUGCCUCUCAAGUGGCUGUAUUAGUGGGCCCUACCUUUUUAGUAAAUAGACCCCACUUCAUAAAGGGGUAUAUAUCAUAUGUGCUGCAAAAGCACAAAGGAAGCAACAUCAAAUUAAAGGUUUGAUGGAAGAGUAGAUAUGUGCCCUAACCAUUACUGACACAACAAGGAAAGUUAAGUUUCACAUCUUGGGCCCUAAUGAUUCUUUUAUUGUAUCCCAUACUUUGUGCUAAGUCUUGUCCCCUCCAUCUAUCCUACUCCUAUUACUUUUCAAAUCAAAUAAUAACCCUUAUCUUAAGUCAAUGAGGAGGGAAUAUGGAUAAAUCAACAAAGUGGACAACUUUUGUGUGACACACCUUUCCAUUUCUUUAUCAAUUUUUGGGGCCACACCCCUCUUUUUCAUGUAAGAUUUUGGGCACAAACAUGGGCCAAGAUACUUGGACCGUCACCUUUUUGCUCAUGUGGGCUCCACUCAAUAAAAUGAUAUGAUAUUCCUUUCAAGAAAUUAAUAGUACUCCAUAUAUUAGGUUCUUGCCCUCUCAUGAUAUGUCCAUGUUUUCAUAUGUGUACAUGAUAUUACUAUUGAC